rnacentral:rRNA from 1 species
AGCGAACGCUGGCGGCAGGCCUAACACAUGCAAGUCGAACGAAGUCUUCGGACUUAGUGGCGGACGGGUGAGUAACACGUGGGAACGUGCCUUUAGGUUCGGAAUAACUCAGGGAAACUCGUGCUAAUACCGAAUGUGCCCUUCGGGGGAAAGAUUUAUCGCCUUUAGAGCGGCCCGCGUCUGAUUAGCUAGUUGGUGAGGUAAAGGCUCACCAAGGCGACGAUCAGUAACUGGUCUGAGAGGAUGAUCAGCCACAUUGGGACUGAGACACGGCCCAAACUCCUACGGGAGGCAGCAGUGGGGAGUCUUGCGCAAUGGGCGAAAGCCUGACGCAGCCAUGCCGCGUGAAUGAUGAAGGUCUUAGGAUUGUAAAAUUCUUUCACCGGGGACGAUAAUGACGGUACCCGGAGAAGAAGCCCCGGCUAACUUCGUGCCAGCCGCCGCCGUAA